CAGGCGGUGGUCUAGGGGUUUGGAUUCAUCGCGCGGUUCCACAGCUGCGUCCGAUAAGGUCGGGGGAUCGAAUCCCUCCCACUGGA